UCAGCACCAGCCCCGAGAGCGCGGGAAGUGCCCGGAUGCUCCUGCGGGGCACGGAUGCGGGUCCCACGCGCCUGCGUCCUCUUCUCUUGAUGUCUCCCCACUUGCCAGGCUUUGAGGCCCUGGAAGGCCAGCUGACAAUGGGUCAGGAAAUGGUCUGCCUUUGUCCUACUCCACAUGGAGGUGGCGGGUACCUAGACCACAGGAAUGAACUGGCUGGUGCCGUUCUCACCCCUUGGUCACUGAGAAAACUAAGUUCUGAGGGCCCUAGAAGGCCAACUGACAAUGGAUUAGGAUGUAGUCCACCUUUGUCCUGCUCCACCUGGAGAUGCCUGGCAUCCAGGCCACAUGAAUGAGCUAUCUGGUGCCAUUCUUGCCCCUUGAUCACCAAGGAAAUAAAUGGGGUGAUUGGUGCUCACCAGUACCAAACCUUCUCUUGUUAAAAUGAAGUCACAUGGAACUUUUGCAUGGGCUGGCCUGGAAUUGAAAUCCUCCUGCUCUCAGCCUCCCAUGUACCUGAGAUGACAGAUGUGUGCCAUCACAGUCCUCCGGUGACACACAAAGCUGGUGGUUGAGACGAAGCAUUGCAGGUAUAACUAGACUGCUCUUGAACUGAUGUCAACCUCCCAAACAGCUAGCAUUACAGCAUGCGCCUUCAAAACCUUGUUGUAUUCUGAUUUUCUCUAAAGUAGUAUUUGUACAUACUUAGGGUAUACAGUGAGAACACACUCCUUGUUUAGUAUAUAUAAUAAUCAGACUAAUAUAAUCAGCACAUUUAUCUCCUAAAACACUGAUAACUAAUGUACUUUGGUAACCAUGACUCUACCAGUUAUUUUGGAAUAUAUGAUAAAAAUCCAUAAAGGGAUAAUGUGCCCUGGAGAAUUUAGAAGUGGGCAGGGAUAGCGCCAAGUAGGAUUACAGGUAGUAAAUGUAUUUUUAUCCAUUGUUGCUCU